rnacentral:lncRNA from 1 species
GUCUCCUCUAAGAUUAAAUAUUACUCUUAGGAUUGAGUGGUCCCUACAAGGUAAUAAUAAUAUUAAUCCAAAGAUAAGAAACGAUUAAAGGGAUUGAUGUAAGAAUCAAAAAAUCGAAAGCACCAGAUCUCUAUACUUUCGAUAGCAUAGUAGCUCUACUAUAUAUAUAUAUUCGAGCUUUUCGAGCUUUUCGAGCCUAAUUCUAAAUGGUUAAAAAUUGUAUGGUUUGGAUGAUUGCGGUCUCCUCUAAGAUUAAAUAUUACUCUUAGGAUUGAGUGGUCCCUACAAGGUAAUAAUAAUAUUAAUCCAAAGAUAAGAAACGAUUAAAGGGAUUGAUGUAAGAAUCAAAAAAUCGAAAGCACCAGAUCUCUAUACUUUCGAUAGCAUAGUAGCUCUACUAUAUAUAUAUAUUCGAGCUUUUCGAGCUUUUCGAGCCUAAUUCUAAAUGGUUAAAAAUUGUAUGGUUUGGAUGAUUGCGGUCUCCUCUAAGAUUAAAUAUUACUCUUAGGAUUGAGUGGUCCCUACAAGGUAAUAAUAAUAUUAAUCCAAAGAUAAGAAACGAUUAAAGGGAUUGAUGUAAGAAUCAAAAAAUCGAAAGCACCAGAUCUCUAUACUUUCGAUAGCAUAGUAGCUCUACUAUAUAUAUAUAUUCGAGCUUUUCGAGCUUUUCGAGCCUAAUUCGAACGAGCUGAGUAAUACUUAAGCUCGGCUUGAAAUGAAUUUCGAGCCUUUUUUUUGUUCAAGCUCGGCUCAUUUAAUUUCAAGUCGAGCUUGAGCGAGCCAAAUAUCGAGUCGAACGCGAGUCGAACGCGAGCCGGCUCGCUCAUUUG